UUUCCUUUUUUUUUUUCACUUUCCUCGGACUUCUCGACAGACAAAUAGCGAACUAGUAAAAAUUUAUAUGUUUAUGUAUGUAUGUGUGUAUGCAUGUGCGUAUAUGUGUCUUUAUGCGUGUGUUAGGGCAUAUACAGGCACGGAAGUCGCCGCCCGUUGCAGCUGUUCCUCGUGCUGUAUUAACCACAGAAAGUGCUAGGCAUGGGGAGGUGUCUUCUUGGGAGAGUGGAUGGUGGCGUGUGGUGGCAAGAGUGCUCAUGGUGGGGAGGCGGCUCGGUGACGGCGGCUUGGGAAAUGGGGCUAGGAAAGAGAGUGAGACAGAAAGAAAGGUUUGGAUUGGGGGAGGGUGCCACCAAUUGGCAUAAAAAAGUUGAUGUGACUGCCACAUCAGCAAAUUAGCGGAUCCAUCAUGGUCACAUUAGCAAGGUAAACGCCAUUUUUACUGAUUUGACAGAAUCUUGUUAAAGUGAAGUGAAUAGAGGUUCAAGGUGUAAAAUCGUAAAAUUUUGGCUCUAGAAAGAAAGUUAGGUGAAGUCGAGUUUCAAGAAGCAUUUCAUAAAAUAAGCCUUCAAUUAAAAUCCGAGUAGCCUGUGGCUUAGUAGUAAAAAGAUGACUAUCCAAGCAAACCACUUUAAUGUUAGUUUCAACUCCUACAAAGGGUACAACGUUUACGUGUACCUGAGAUGUAUGGUUUUUCCA